rnacentral:misc_RNA from 1 species
AAAAUGUUCUUUUUCACCUAUUCCAAAUGUUAAUUGGUGCAAUCGUCGGUUCUUUAAAAAAGAAGAAUAAAAUGUUCUUUUCACCUAUUCCAGAUGCUAAUCGGUGCAAUAAUUUGAUCUUUAAAGACACAAUGGCUUAAAAUAGCUGGACUAACUAUCCCAAACAUGAAGCAGCACUGCAACAUAUCCAAAGAUGAUUUAAAGAAGAAAGGAAUCAUGUUAUCUACCAUGCAACACCUAAAAAAUUAUCUUCUCUCAAUAAAUGAGCAGAUAAGAACUAAUGAAUCCAGCUUUUCGUCUCCAAGUGAUCAAAUAAAAUUUGCUCCAAUUUCACUAAGAUAAAA